rnacentral:rRNA from 1 species
GACGAACGCUGGCGGCGUGCUUAACACAUGCAAGUCGAACGGUAAGGCCCUUCGGGGUACGCGAGUGGCGAACGGGUGAGUAACACGUGGGUGAUCUGCCCUGCACUUCGGGAUAAGCCUGGGAAACUGGGUCUAAUACCGGAUAGGACCCUGGGAUGCAUGUCCUGGGGUGGAAAGCUUUUGCGGUGUGGGAUGGGCCCGCGGCCUAUCAGCUUGUUGGUGGGGGGAUGGCCUAACAAGGCGACGACGGGUAGCCGGCCUGAGAGGGUGACCGGCCACACUGGGACUGAGAUACGGCCCAGACUCCUACGGGAGGCAGCAGUGGGGAAUAUUGCACAAUGGGCGCAAGCCUGAUGCAGCGACGCCGCGUGAGGGAUGACGGCCUUCGGGUUGUAAACCUCUUUCAGCACCGACGAAGCGCAAGUGACGGUAGGUGCAGAAGAAGGACCGGCCAACUACGUGCCAGCAGCCGCCGUAA